rnacentral:rRNA from 1 species
AGAGUUUGAUCAUGGCUCAGGACGAACGCUGGCGGCAUGCCUAACACAUGCAAGUCGAAGGAGAAUUCCUUCGGGAAUUCUUAGUGGCGAACGGGUGAGUAACGCGUAGGCAACCUGCCUUUGGAUGGGGACAACAUUCCGAAAGGAGUGCUAAUACCGAAUGUGACGAUUUUACCGAUGGUUUAAUCGUGAAAGAUGGCCUCUACAUGUAAGCUAUCGCCAAAGGAUGGGCCUGCUCUGAUUAGCUAGUUGGUGGGGUAACGGCUCACCAAGGCGACGAUCAGUAGCCGGUCUGGAGGAUGAACGGCCACAUUGGGACUGAGACACGGCCCAGACUCCUACGGGAGGCAGCAGGGGGAAUCUUCCGCAAUGGACGAAAGUCUGACGGAGCAAUGCCGCGUGAGUGAUGAAGGUUUCGGACCGUAAAGCUCUUUUGUUUAUGACGAAUGUGCAUGAUGUGAAUAAUGUUGUGAAUGACGGUAGUAAACGAAUAAGCCACGGCUAACUACGUGCCAGCAGCCGCGGUAAUACUAGGUGGCAAGCGUUGUCCGGAAUUAUUGGGCGUAAAGAGCAUGUAGGCGGUCCUUUAAUCUGGAGUGAAAAUGCGGGGCUCAACCCCGUAUGGCUUUGGAUACUGGGGGACUUGAGUCAGGAGAGGAAAGGGGAAUUCCCAGUGUAGCGGUGAAAUGCGUAGAUAUUGGGAGGAACCCAGUGGCGAAGGCGCCUUUCUGGACUGUGUCUGACGCUGAGAUGCGAAAGCCAGGGUACGAACGGGAUUAGAUACCCCGGGUAGUCCUGGCCGUAAAC